UGAAAGGUUUUUUUUAAAACCAUAAAUAGCACUGAAUUUUGUUA
rfam:Mus musculus chromosome 8, GRC primary reference assembly.